rnacentral:rRNA from 1 species
AGUGAACGCUGGCGGUAGGCCUAACACAUGCAAGUCGAACGGCAGCACAGUAAGAGCUUGCUCUUACGGGUGGCGAGUGGCGGACGGGUGAGGAAUACAUCGGAAUCUACUUUUUCGUGGGGGAUAACGUAGGGAAACUUACGCUAAUACCGCAUACGACCUACGGGUGAAAGCAGGGGAUAUUCGGACCUUUCGCGAUUGAAUGAGCCGGUGUCGGAUUAGCUAGUUGGCGGGGUAAAGGCCCACCAAGGCGACGAUCCGUAGCUGGUCUGAGAGGAUGAUCAGCCACACUGGAACUGAGACACGGUCCAGACUCCUACGGGAGGCAGCAGUGGGGAAUAUUGGACAAUGGGCGCAAGCCUGAUCCAGCCAUACCGCGUGGGUGAAGAAGGCCUUCGGGUUGUAAAGCUCUGUUGUUGGGAAAGAAAAGCAGCAGGUUAAUACCCCGCUGUUCUGACGGUACCCAAAGAAUAAGCACCGGCUAACUUCGUG